GCACACUGUCUGAGGGCAGCUGCCUUGCAAAGUGGCGGAGGGUAUGGCGAAAGUGGCAUGGCGGAACGAAGUACCAGGCCACACUGGAGCAGGAACUUCGAGGGAAGCCUGAAAGGACGAGCUGUGGAAACAAAGCUUGCAUAGUAGAAGCCUAACAGUUGGAAGCAGAUAAAAAAUAAGGAUGGACAAUGUGUUGUAUAGUGAGCAACAGAAACAAUGGCAAAAUUCAGUCUCAAGGUCCAGUGAAUGGCUGCAUACUUCAAAGACUCUGGGAAUUUCAGACAACAACCAAGUACGUUCUAGUUGCUGUCCAACAACUUUGAGUAUGGAUCUAUGGAAUCAGGGAAGACAAAAACAUUAUCAGGAAUUUCUUCAGAAAACAAGCUUUGGAAUGGUUCCCACUGGCAACUGCAAGGCACUACAGCAGCUUUUGUAUUUACGAGCACUCGAGUCCCAUGACUGCUCAAACGACCACAAAUUCACCACUGUCCCUUUCACUUACCAUAGACCUUUCAUCAUAGUGGACUCAGCAAUCCUCCUGGGCUGAUGGUGGUCAGGGGAACGUCUCUCACUCCUUCAGUUAAAAAGUUGGACCAUUAAUUUGGCUCACUGCCUCAUUCUCCUUUCCUCCCUUCAAAUUUAUUUUGUUGCUUACUGAACAGGAACAUGAAAGCAUGAGUGUACUUUAAAAUUUGUUUGUAUGAGUUGGGGUGAGAAAUGUCUUAUGGUAAAUAAAGUAGAGAUUCUGUCUGCUUGGUCUUUAUGUACUGGUUGAACUGGUUAUUUGUGAUGUUUUAUCUGAUGUGAUCUGUGUUAUCAUGAAGCUGAAUAAACUGCUAGAUGUUG
rnacentral:lncRNA from 7 species